CCUACGGGUGGCAGCAGUCGAGAAUCAUUCACAAUGGGGGAAACCCUGAUGGUGCGACGCCGCGUGGGGGAAUGAAGGUCUUCGGAUUGUAAACCCCUGUCAUGUGGGAGCAAAUUAAAAAGAUAGUACCACAAGAGGAAGAGACGGCUAACUCUGUGCCAGCAGCCGCGGUAAUACAGAGGUCUCAAGCGUUGUUCGGAAUCACUGGGCGUAAAGGGUGCGUAGGCUGUUUAGUAAGUCGUGUGUGAAAGUCGCGGGCUCAACCCGCGGACGGCACAUGAUCCUGCGAGACUAGAGUAAUGGAGGGGGAACCGGAAUUCUCGGUGUAGCAGUGAAAUGCGUAGAUAUCGAGAGGAACACUCGUGGCGAAGGCGGGUUCCUGGACAUUAACUGACGCUGAGGCACGAAGGCCAGGGGAGCGAAAGGGAUUAGAUACCCCAGUAGUC
rnacentral:rRNA from 1 species